CCUGCUGCGCGACCAGCAGUAGCCUAGGAGGACAUGCGCCACUGGUAACGGUGGGGUGUGAAGCUUCUCCGACAACGUAGCCCCCGGAUGUUUCGGGCAAGGCGCUUCCGUGAGGUCGCGCUUUGGAGACUCCUAGCAGCAAUGGGGUUGAGGAG
rnacentral:ncRNA from 1 species